UGAGUGGUUUACUGACGGAGUUGACAAGGGAAGCUUGCUGCUGCAUCUUUACAGUUGCGAUCAGUAGUUCUCUUGCAGCUUGUUGAUCGCCCCGAAUCGUCUGAGUUUUGCCAUCUUUUCCGGGAAACUUGAUGCAUUGAUGAUAAGUCGAAGGGACGGCUUUCAUGGAAUGCAGCCAUGGUGUUCCGAGUAUGGCAUUAUAGGGUGCUUUGGCGCGGAUGACGGAGAACUUGACGGUGCGGGUUAUACCGCCUGCGUAAACUGGAAGGCGAAUUGUCCCUAUCAUUUGCUCCGAGGCUCCGUUGAAGCCGGUGAGCGUGCGAGAGGAAGGCUUCAUAUCUUUUAAAUCAACUCCCAUUUUGUCGAGUGUGUCGCGAAAGAUGAGA
rnacentral:lncRNA from 1 species